rnacentral:lncRNA from 1 species
AAACAUACUUCUUAGGAAAAUAAAAGAAAGCUGUGGUUCCCCAUGUAGCUUGCAGACAUGGAGCUCAUAUGAGCCCAGGUGUGUCAUCUCCUUCUAGAUGGGCCUCUUAUCCUCUUCUGCCUAGAGCUAGGGAGGUGUGGAGGCCAUCAUUAACCCCAGGAAGGACAGGGCUCUUAGUCAGUGUCAGCCUGGAGAGGAGGCAGCUAGCCAGCAGCAUUCCAGGGAAAAGGAAGGGCUGUGGUUUCCUUGUGUCUGGUUAGGAGGACAAUUACUGUGCUUGGCACUUCAACUUGCAAUCUAGGUUCCUGCCAGGGAAGGUGUGAGCAUCCUGAGAUGACAGCUGUCAGGCUUCCUGAAAACGUUCCUUUCAGGGAAGGGCAGUCCAUGUACCGUGAGUGACAAGAGGAGCUUAGUUUCAGCCUCACUGAGAUAGAACCAGCACAUAGAAAUUGUGUGCACAUCUUCUAGUAAUGUCUACCUCCCGUACAACCUCUAGAAUAUGAUAAAUUGAAUGCUUGCUUAACCAAGGUAGAAAGUUGUAUAAUAAUUUUCCUUUCUUUCCACUCUUUUUAAUAAUUUCACUAUUACUAUUAGAAGGGGAAAAUGAUAAGACCUUCACCCAAGGUUUGACACUUCUUACAAAGUCCUGGGAUGAGAGACAUUAAGAAAGAAGAAAUGAUCCAGACAGACAAGUCCUCUCUCCUAAGCCUUCUAAAGAGCCCUUGAAAGCACAUGACCUGUAUAUGGUCAUCAAAAGUCUCCUGUGUCUUCUGAAGGUUGGGAGAUUGGGGUCACAUUGACAAAAGCAUUAGAACAAGGUACAAAGUCCCAACUACAGUACUGAGAGAUUGGUUGCUGAGCGACCAGCUUUGUGGGACAGUACAUGGAAAAAUCUAGGAACUCAGUGGUCCAAACCCUGGACACAGACAGUUUUGUUUAACUUUCUAUUGGCAGGGUGCAAACUAUGGAGAUGGAGGGAGAAAGAAAGCCAGCCUUCCUGGCUGCCAGCGGCUUGCUGAUAGCCCAUGUUUACACACUGCAGUAUCCAAAGCAGGUCCAAAAAUCUUAUUCCUGAGAUACCCCCAUUGGAUUGAUGGGAUAAAGGUUUUUAAGGCUGAACUCAGAUUUUCCUUUGGCCUCAGUUGCCUUUGAACUAGCUACCCAUGCUGCCUAAGCUAAUAUGAAAAGAGAGAUGUACAAAGCAGAGAGGGUCCACUCAUUGGCUGCACCCUCAUCCCGUGUCUAGAGCAAUGGUUCUCAACCUUCCUAAUGCUGCAACCCAUGAAUACAGUUCCUCCUCAAUACAGUUGUGGUGACCCACAACCAUAAAAUUAUUUUUUGUUGCUACAUCAUAACUGUGGUUUUGCUACUGUUAUGAAUUGUAAUGUGAUUAUCUAAUAUGCAGAUAGUCUUAGGUGAGCCCUAUGAAAGGGUCCUUCAACCACCAAUAGGAUUGCAACCCACAGGCUGAGAACCACGGCUCUGGAGGGUUUGAGCAUGUUUGUAUGGAGUUUGCAAAGCUAAAGCAGCCCUGGUUAGACUCAAACUCCGUGCAUAGUGGAUGACUUUGAGUUUGCCUUGCCUCCCCUCCUGUGCGCUGGGACUGUACCACCUCUCCUGAGGAAUGCAGUACAGGGAAUUGAAUGCAGGGCUUUCUGAGUGCCAGGCAAACACUUUACCAACUGAACUGCUACAUCCCUAUCCCCAAGUUCCCCAGAGGACUUUUUUUUUUUUUUAAGGACAAGAUUUUAUACUAUAGCCAGCCUGGCCUAGUCUGUAGCCAGGCUAACCUGGAAUUUGUAUUUUCUGUCUCAGGUGUCUCAGGAACUCCAAGAUGCUGUCAUCUUGGAGGUGUGAGCUACCAUACCCCAUUUGGGAGUUGGUUGCUGUUUGGGGAAGUGCUGGGGAUUUGAAUCCAGAGCCUCACGUAAGCUAGGCAAGCCCUCUACCAGGGAACUACAACCCUAAUAUAUACCCUGGCAUUUUCUAAUGGCUCUGUGAAGACACUGCUCAUUCCCACAGGGUGGGCACUGGCUAUGGAGGGGACUCGUGGAGACAGAAGCUAACUUGACACUUUUGAUCAAUGCCCAAGUGCUUUCUCCUCCAACGCAGCCCUUUCCUAGGAGUUGUUUUCUUCCUUCCGUAUGACCUUUAGCUUUAGGGCAAAUAGAGCACAGCUAUAUAACCCUCGCUAUGAACCAGAAGUUAUCUGACUCCCUUGAGACUCUUAUCCAAGUAGCUUGGGGGAAGUGAAGAUAAGAAAAAAUAAGAUCCUUUUAUGGGAUCUCUUCCUCCCCCGCACCCACACUUCCUAAAUGAGAACAAGCUGCUGGUGUUCCUGGGUCAGAUGUCUUCAGGUUGCACAUGGAGUCUAAUUCAUUUCAUGGGUCUUAGAGUUCAUCUCUUCAUUAACUUUGUUUCCAGUGUAAACUAUAGUUUUAAAGUAAUACCUGCUCAUUAUACCUUCCUGUUUGGUGAAACACUUGUGAAUUCAGUACUGUACUAUUUUAUAAAUGUAAUUCU